UUGGCUAGUGAUGGCUAAUGCGCAAGCACCAGCAGCAUCACCGGCUACACCAACCACGACUCCUCCACCUACUACCACACCUGUUGCAGCAUCACCCCCAACUUCCACGACGCCUCCACCUACUACCACACCUGUUGCAGCUUCACCUCCACCAACGACAACGCCUUCACCUACUACCACACCCGUUGCAGCAUCACCCCCACCUUCCACUACGCCUGUUGCACCAUCACAACCACCAGCAACUUCAGCACCACCUCCAACAGUACCUCCGCCUAAAGUUGCCCCCGUUUCUGCUCCAACGACCCCACCACCACAACCUCCACCAACUCCACCAGCAACACCACCACCUGCUCCAGUUUCUCCUCCACCACAGAUAGCCCCAGCACCAGCACAAAAG
rnacentral:lncRNA from 1 species